rnacentral:lncRNA from 1 species
GCGAUUGCUUUUGAAGUCUAGUGGUCGGAUCAUGUUUCAUGACGAUGGUUCGAUGGCCGAACACUAGUAUGGAUAGUCACGUUGCUGGAGUAGGAGUAUUGAUGUGAUGCUUCUAGAUAUCAACCUUGGUGUUGACAGCUUCGAGAUUGGCUAAGAGUCAUGACGAAGUGUGUGGCUAGUACUAUGUGUCAUAGACCAUAGAUACUGAGCCUAGGUGUGAUUGUUCAAGGAAGGCUGUGU